CGCGCAACACCGGCCCGAACUGAAGGGCCUCGUUUCGCGUGUUCGCUCCGUUCGGUCUGCGCUGACGUCAGGAGUCCCGGAGCAGCCGGGCCCUUGUUCUCGAGACGCUCGUUUCGGGAAAGUAGUUAAAGUUCCGCGGCUCCGGCGUCUCGUCAUCGUGAAAUUAGAUAAAGGGAUCAACUCCCCUUUAAACGCCUCCAAAGGUCACGGCGCAAAACCGGGAAAUCAAAAGCCUCAAAUGCCUCGGCGUCUCCGGCGCGCUGUCGGUGCGACUCGCAAGCGGCGACACGCAGGCAGCGCUGCAUUGUGGGUAGGCGGGAUGACAGGUUAUUUAGGGCUGUUUUGAAAGCCGAGCCCCAGGAGCGCCUAGAGGAUACACUGAUCCUUCAGCGUCACCAGGAAGUUUCUUAAGUGAGAUGGACCGUGAGCUCUACGGUUGGCACCGGGUGCGGGGGAUGAGACGAGCGACGCCUGAGGACCCCUCGCUGGGACCGAGAUGAGGACGAUGGCGACGACGGCAACGAUGGCUGCCCGGGCCCGGCUCUUCCGGGAGGCAAACAGCAAGCGGCAGAGAAAAAGUUUCGAGGGACGUCAACGAUGUUGGGUGCGGCUGCAGGGCGGCGCGGCGGCGCGGCGGCGCCUCUCGAUGGCCGAGAACGUGGCAGAAACUUCCGGCGAGAGAUGAGGAGACAAAUCGCACGAGAGCUCAUAGAGCGCGAGAUGCUCAUCUUCUGAGACGACUUGUAGCGAUGAUGCCGACGGUGGACUAGGGGUUAGGGCUGUCAUCCACGAGCCUGCAGGCUAUGGGUUCAAAUCCCACCUCCUGUUGUCGUACCCUUGGUUGAGGUGCUAACCUUGAACUGACAGUGUCAAUAAUUUCACUUCUCCCUGAUCUCCUAAGUGCCUGAUGUACAUUUAUUCCUGUUUAUCAUUAUUAUUACCAACCGAUAGGUUUUAG
rnacentral:lncRNA from 1 species